rnacentral:rRNA from 1 species
GAUGAACGCUAGCGGGAGGCCUAACACAUGCAAGCCGAGCGGUAUUUGUCUUUCGGGACAGAGAGAGCGGCGUACGGGUGCGGAACACGUGUGCAACCUGCCUUUAUCUGGGGGAUAGCCUUUCGAAAGGAAGAUUAAUACCCCAUAAUAUAAUGAAUGGCAUCAUUUAUUAUUGAAAACUCCGGUGGAUAGAGAUGGGCACGCGCAAGAUUAGAUAGUUGGUGAGGUAACGGCUCACCAAGUCGAUGAUCUUUAGGGGGCCUGAGAGGGUGAUCCCCCACACUGGUACUGAGACACGGACCAGACUCCUACGGGCGGCAGCAGUUAGGAAUAUUGGACAAUGGGUUAGCGCGUGGUCCAGCCAUCCCGCGUGAAGGACGACGGCCCUAUGGGUUGUAAACUUCUUUUGUACAGGGAUAAACCUACUCUCGUGAGAGUAGCUGAAGGUACUGUACGAAUAAGCACCGGCUAACUCCGUGCCAGCCGCCGCAGUAA